CUGCUUUGCUGACGAGUGGCGGACGGGUGAGUAAUGUCUGGGAAACUGCCUGAUGGAGGGGGAUAACUACUGGAAACGGUGGCUAAUACCGCAUAACGUCGCAAGACCAAAGAGGGGGACCUUCGGGCCUCUUGCCAUCAGAUGUGCCCAGAUGGGAUUAGCUUGUUGGUGAGGUAACGGCUCACCAAGGCGACGAUCCCUAGCUGGUCUGAGAGGAUGACCAGCCACACUGGAACUGAGACACGGUCCAGACUCCUACGGGAGGCAGCAGUGGGGAAUAUUGCACAAUGGGCGCAAGCCUGAUGCAGCCAUGCCGCGUGUAUGAAGAAGGCCUUCGGGUUGUAAAGUACUUUCAGCGGGGAGGAAGGUGUUGUGGUUAAUAACCGCAGCAAUUGACGUUACCCGCAGAAGAAGCACCGGCUAACUCCGUGCCAGCAGCCGCGGUAAUACGGAGGGUGCAAGCGUUAAUCGGAAUUACUGGGCGUAAAGCGCACGCAGGCGGUCUGUCAAGUCGGAUGUGAAAUCCCCGGGCUCAACCUGGGAACUGCAUUCGAAACUGGCAGGCUUGAGUCUUGUAGAGGGGGGUAGAAUUCCAGGUGUAGCGGUGAAAUGCGUAGAGAUCUGGAGGAAUACCGGUGGCGAAGGCGGCCCCCUGGACAAAGACUGACGCUCAGGUGCGAAAGCGUGGGGAGCAAACAGGAUUAGAUACCCUGGUAGUCCACGCCGUAAACGAUGUCUACUUGGAGGUUGUGCCCUUGAGGCGUGGCUUCCGGAGCUAACGCGUUAAGUAGACCGCCUGGGGAGUACGGCCGCAAGGUUAAAACUCAAAUGAAUUGACGGGGGCCCGCACAAGCGGUGGAGCAUGUGGUUUAAUUCGAUGCAACGCGAAGAACCUUACCUGGUCUUGACAUCCACAGAACAUUCCAGAGAUGGAUUGGUGCCUUCGGGAACUGUGAGACAGGUGCUGCAUGGCUGUCGUCAGCUCGUGUUGUGAAAUGUUGGGUUAAGUCCCGCAACGAGCGCAACCCUUAUCCUUUGUUGCCAGCGGUCCGGCCGGGAACUCAAAGGAGACUGCCAGUGAUAAACUGGAGGAAGGUGGGGAUGACGUCAAGUCAUCAUGGCCCUUACGACCAGGGCUACACACGUGCUACAAUGGCGCAUACAAAGAGAAGCGACCUCGCGAGAGCAAGCGGACCUCAUAAAGUGCGUCGUAGUCCGGAUUGGAGUCUGCAACUCGACUCCAUGAAGUCGGAAUCGCUAGUAAUCGUGGAUCAGAAUGCCACGGUGAAUACGUUCCCGGGCCUUGUACACACCGCCCGUCACACCAUGGGAGUGGGUUGCAAAAGAAGUAGGUAGCUUAACCUUCGGGAGGGCGCUUACCACUUUGUGAUUCAUGACUGGGGUGAAGUCGUAACAAGGUAACCGUAGGGGAACCUGC
rnacentral:rRNA from 1 species